rnacentral:rRNA from 1 species
GAUGAACGCUGGCGGCGUGCCUAAUACAUGCAAGUCGAGCGAACAGAUGAGGAGCUUGCUCCUCUGACGUUAGCGGCGGACGGGUGAGUAACACGUGGAUAACCUACCUAUAAGACUGGGAUAACUUCGGGAAACCGGAGCUAAUACCGGAUAAUAUAUUGAACCGCAUGGUUCAAUAGUGAAAGACGGUUUUGCUGUCACUUAUAGAUGGAUCCGCGCCGCAUUAGCUAGUUGGUAGGGUAACGGCCUACCAAGGCAACGAUGCGUAGCCGACCUGAGAGGGUGGACGGCAACAUGGGGACUGAGAGACGGCCCAGACUCCUACGGGAGGCAGCAGUGGGGAAUAUUGCACAAUCGGCGCAAGCCUGAUGCAGCGACGCCGCGGGGGGGAUGACGGCCUUCGGGUUGUAAAUUCCUUUCGCUAGGGACGAAGCUUUUUGUGACGGUACCUAGAGAAGAAGCACCGGCUAACUACGUG